rnacentral:rRNA from 1 species
GAUGAACGCUGGCGGCGUGCCUAAUACAUGCAAGUCGAGCGAACAGACGAGGAGCUUGCUCCUCUGACGUUAGCGGCGGACGGGUGAGUAACACGUGGAUAACCUACCUAUAAGACUGGGAUAACUUCGGGAAACCGGAGCUAAUACCGGAUAAUAUAUUGAACCGCAUGGUUCAAUAGUGAAAGACGGUUUUGCUGUCCCUUAUAGAUGGAUCCCCGCCGCAUUAGCUAGUUGGUAAGGUAACGGCUUACCAAGGCAACGAUGCGUAGCCGACCUGAGAGGGUGAUCGGCCACACUGGAACUGAGACACGGUCCAGACUCCUACGGGAGGCAGCAGUAGGGAAUCUUCCGCAAUGGGCGAAAGCCUGACGGAGCAACGCCGCGUGAGUGAUGAAGGUCUUCGGAUCGUAAAACUCUGUUAUUAGGGAAGAACAAAUGUGUAAGUAACUAUGCACGUCUUGACGGUACCUAAUCAGAAAGCCACGGCUAACUACGUG